GCCAAUGUGGUGUAGAGGUUUGAGUAUUGCACUGUGACUGUGGAGAUCAGGGUUCAAAUCCCAGCUCUGCCA